rnacentral:rRNA from 1 species
AUUGAACGCUGGCGGCAGGCCUAACACAUGCAAGUCGGACGGUAGCACAGGGGAGCUUGCUCCCCGGGUGACGAGUGGCGGACGGGUGAGUAAUGUCUGGGAAACUGCCCGGUGGAGCGGGAAUACUACUGGAAACGGUAGCUAAUACCGCAUAACGUCUUCGGACCAAAGUGGGGGAACUUAGGGCCUCACGCCACCGGAUGUGCCCGCAUGGGAUUAGCUAGUAGGUGGGGUAACGGCUCACCUAGGCGACGAUCCCUAGCUGGCCUGAGAGGAUGACCAGCCACACUGGAACUGAGACACGGUCCAGACUCCUACGGGAGGCAGCAGUGGGGAAUAUUGCACAAUGGGCGCAAGCCUGAUGCAGCCAUGCCGCGUGUAUGAAGAAGGCCUUCGGGUUGUAAAGUACUUUCAGCGGGGAGGAAGGCGGUGAGGUUAAUAACCUCGCCGAUUGACGUUACCCGCAGAAGAAGCACCGGCUAACUCCGUGCCAGCCGCCGCCGUAA